rnacentral:rRNA from 1 species
UACGAAGGGUGCAAGCGUUACUCGGAAUUACUGGGCGUAAAGCGUGCGUAGGUGGUUUGUUAAGUCUGAUGUGAAAGCCCUGGGCUCAACCUGGGAAUUGCAUUGGAUACUGGCAGGCUAGAGUGCGGUAGAGGGUAGUGGAAUUCCCGGUGUAGCAGUGAAAUGCGUAGAGAUCGGGAGGAACACCAGUGGCGAAGGCGGCUCUCUGGACCACAACUGACGCUGAGGCGCGAAAGCUAGGGGAGCAAACAGG